UACGUAGGGGGCAAGCGUUGUCCGGAUUUAUUGGGCGUAAAGCGCGUGUAGGCGGCCACGCAGGUCCGCUGUGAAAACUCGAGGCUCAACCUCGAGCUGUCGGUGGAAACCGCGUGGCUAGAGUCCGGAAGAGGGGACUGGAAUUCCUGGUGUAGCGGUGGAAUGCGCAGAUAUCAGGAGGAACACCGGUGGCGAAGGCGGGUCUCUGGGCCGUAACUGACGCUGAGGAGCGAAAGCGUGGGGAGCGAACAGG
rnacentral:rRNA from 1 species